rnacentral:rRNA from 1 species
CCCUUAGAUGUUCUGGGCCGCACGCGCGCUACACUGAUGCAUUCAACUAGCCUAGCCUUGACCGAGAGGUCCGGGUAAUCUUUGAAACUGCAUCGUGAUGGGGCUAGAUUAUUGCAAUUAUUAAUCUUCAACGAGGAAUGCCUAGUAAGCGUGAUUCAUCAAAUCGCGUUGAUUACGUCCCUGCCCUUUGUACACACCGCCCGUCGCUCCUACCGAUUGAAUGUGUUGGUGAGGAGCUCGGAUUGGCAGCAGUUGGUGGUUCGCCACCGGCUAUUGCUGAGAAGUCCUCCAAACCGCCCCAUUUAGAGGAAGGAGAAGUCGUAACA